AAUAGAUACCCGGGUAGUCCACGCCCUAAACGAUGAUAACUCGAUGUUAGCGAUAUACCGUUAGCGUCCAAGCGAAAGCGUUAAGUUAUCCACCUGGGGAGUACGCCCGCAAGGGUGAAACUCAAAGGAAUUGACGGGGGCCCGCACAAGCGGAGGAGCAUGUGGUUUAAUUCGAUGAUACGCGAGGAACCUUACCCGGGCUUGAAAGUUACUGAAGAAUGCAGAGACGCAUUCGUCCUUCGGACAGGAAACUAGGUGCUGCAUGGCUGUCGUCAGCUCGUGCCGUGAGGUGUUGGGUUAAGUCCCGCAACGAGCGCAACCCUAUGUUAGUUGCCAGCACGUUAAGGUGGGGACUCUAGACAGACUGCCUGCGUAAGCAGAGAGGAAGGUGGGGACGACGUCAAGUCAUCAUGGCCCUUACGUCCGGGGCUACACACGUGCUACAAUGGACGGUACAGCGGGCAGCUACACAGCAAUGUGAUGCUAAUCUCGAAAAGCCGUUCACAGUUCGGAUCGGGGUCUGCAACUCGACCCCG
rnacentral:rRNA from 1 species